CGAUAUGAUGAUCAACAAUUAUCUAUAACUUUCGUUCUACCGCAUUCGAUCAAACGAUCGUGAGGAGAAAUUUAGACCUGAUC
rnacentral:snoRNA from 1 species